rnacentral:rRNA from 1 species
AAUAGAUACCCUGGUAGUCCACGCCGUAAACGAUGUCGACUUGGAGGUUGUUCCCUUGAGGAGUGGCUUCCGGAGCUAACGCGUUAAGUCGACCGCCUGGGGAGUACGGCCGCAAGGUUAAAACUCAAAUGAAAUUGACGGGGGCCCGCACAAGCGGUGGAGCAUGUGGUUUAAUUCGAUGCAACGCGAAGAACCUUACCUGGUCUUGACAUCCACAGAAUUCUGCAGAGAUGCGGAAGUGCCUUCGGGAACUGUGAGACAGGUGCUGCAUGGCUGUCGUCAGCUCGUGUUGUGAAAUGUUGGGUUAAGUCCCGCAACGNGCGCAACCCUUAUCCUUUGUUGCCAGCGGUUAGGCCGGGAACUCAAAGGAGACUGCCAGUGAUAAACUGGAGGAAGGUGGGGAUGACGUCAAGUCAUCAUGGCCCUUACGACCAGGGCUACACACGUGCUACAAUGGCAUAUACAAAGAGAAGCGACCUCGCGAGAGCAAGCGGACCUCAUAAAGUAUGUCGUAGUCCGGAUCGGGAU